rnacentral:rRNA from 1 species
GUAGGUGGCAAGCGUUGUCCGGAAUUAUUGGGCGUAAAGCGCGCGCAGGCGGUUCUUUAAGUCUGAUGUGAAAGCCCACGGCCCAACCGUGGAGGGUCAUUGGAAACUGGAGAACUUGAGUACAGAAGAGGAAAGCGGAAUUCCACGUGUAGCGGUGAAAUGCGUAGAGAUGUGGAGGAACACCAGUGGCGAAGGCGGCUUUCUGGUCUGUAACUGACGCUGAGGCGCGAAAGCGUGGGGAGCAAACAGGGAUUAGAUACCCUGGUAGUCCACGCCGUAAACGAUGAGUGCUAAGUGUUAGGGGGUUUCCGCCCCCUUAGUGCUGCAGCUAACGCACUAAGCAUCCGCCUGGGGAGUACGGCCGCAAGGCUG